rnacentral:siRNA from 1 species
ACUCUCAAGUAAGAUGAUCGUGAC